GUAAUUCCAGAUCCAAUAGCGUAUACUAAUGCUGUUGCUGUUAAAAAGCUCGUAGUUCGAUAAGGAUUGAUUCUGGUUCAGAUACAGUGCUUCGUAUUCGUACAGGUAUUCGUUGAGAUCCGCUUGGAAUUGAUUCUGCAAUGAGUGACUCGUACGGUCGAAGAGCUCUUCAUUGAGCUUGGAAACGCUUUCGCAGCCAACAUCUGCACAAGUACAGUCGUUCGUGAUACCGUGAACAAAACAGCGUGCUCAAAGCAAGUGAUUCUGCUCGAAUGUUCAAGCAUGGAAUAUCAAGAAAUCGACCGUGAGUCUCGGAUUCUGUUAUGGUACUAAGCUCUACUUUACCGGUAUUAACAGGGAUGAACGGAGCAGUGUGUAUUGGCUCGCGAGAGGUGAAAUUCUUAGACCGUGCCAAGACAAACUUAAGCGAAGGCAUUCUGCAAGUAUAUCUUCACCAAUCAAGAACGAGAGUGCAGGGAUCGAAGAUGAUCAGAUACCGUCGUAGUCUGCUACUGUAAACGAUGCGAACUCGGGAUCAGCCGUCGCCAAUCUUUUCGAUUACCAGGCUGGAACCUACUUACUUCUCCUAGCGCGAAAGCUUUAAGUUUAUGCGUUAAGGGGGGAGUACAGCUGCAAGGUACUGAAACUUAAAGGAAUUGACGGAAUGCCACCACAAGGCGUGGAUGCUGCGGCUUAAUUUGACUCAACACGGGGAAUCUCACCAGGUCAGGACGCAUGUUGGAUUGACAGAUUGAAAGCUCUUUCUUGAUUAUGUGUAUGGUGGUGCAUGGCCGCUCCUGGUUGGUGGAGUGAUCUGUCUGGUUGAUUCCGUUAACGAACGCGAUCUUGGCCCUUCAAUGACAGUUUGAUCGAUUGUAAUUCAGUCAACGUGCUUGCAUGCUUGCACUGGAUGAGAUCUUGUCUUGUACUCAAGGGGACGAUGCAUGUUGACAAUGCAUGGAAGUGCGAGCCAAUAGCAGGUCUGUGAUGCCCAA
rnacentral:rRNA from 1 species